rnacentral:tRNA from 1 species
UCACCAGGAAGCUAAAUUUGGGCUACAGCGUUGGCCUUUUAAGCCAAAGAUUGGUGCUUCCCAACCACCCCUGAUGAA